AACCCUGUCGGUCACUUUCGCAUCCCAUGCCGAUGAGCUGCUCAUCAGAAUUGAUGUUUUGCAUGGCUUGCAAGCUCUCCAGAUGUGUUCCAUUUGAAUUCUGAUUCAUGUUAAGACUAUCAACUCCAUGUCAGAGAAGUUAUCAUGCCUACAGCUAGGCUUGAAUAUGGGGCAAGCCAGUUCUUCUAGGUUGGCAACAAAGUAAUGGUCAGAGUCAGUUUCGGUGAAAUGACCAAGCCUGUAGCAUAAAUAAAUAGUUUCUAUAGUCUACCAAGAUCUAAUAUGGCCAUACCCUGGGAGAUGUUGGUCAGAGCAGAACUCCAUGUCUUCUGUGUCCUAUGGGCUAUGGUUGAAUUCAAGUCUACCUAGUAACUAGAGAUUACAAAAGUUUCUCUUAUUUUUUUCCCCCUCUUCUGGCUCUUGAUUUGUUAGGGGCAUCCACAAGGCAUGGGCAAUAUAUUAUAACAUGAUGCUCUCCCUCUCCCUCUCCCUCUCCCUCUCCGUGUGGGUGUGUGUGCGCGUGUGUGCAUGCUCUUGUGCACAUGCGCACCUCAAUCAUUCAAAUGGAUUCAAUGGAAAAUUCCUUCUCUCUAGGGACUUAAUGACGAGUUGUGGAGCCAUGGUACUGCAAUAUAUGUGGCAGUACUGCUUUAUUCCACAAACAAGGACAAGGAAAAAAGAAAGAACGUUUUCCCCGUUCUGCUAAUGAGCGAAAAGCGCAGAUCAAUUUAUGAAAUUGUGAAAGGAAAAAAAGGCUAUUCAUUCCUAGAAAAUUUCCUAGACACAACUUAAUUCACACAAUCUACGCAUCGAUACAUGCACAUGAUUUCGGGCUGGCAAUGUGUGACCAAUUUGUUUUAAUAGGGAGUGAUCCAAUUAAUGUCUUAUAGAUUUAUAACCCUAAAGUCCAUAUUUC
rnacentral:lncRNA from 1 species